rnacentral:lncRNA from 1 species
UUUCUUACUUCUCUCUUCAGCUAUGGCAGACAUGAUACUGUCAGCAUCUGGGUGCCCACAUAAACAGCUGUCUACAGGAAACAAGGCAGGAGGCCCAUAUUAAAUAAUGAAGAUAGAAUACAUUAAUUACACCAUGGAUGUUAUAUUCCCUCUUAUAAUUUCUGAGUACAAAUAUGAGAAUGGAUCUAAAAGAGGAAGGAGAAAGAGAGUUGACAGAUUGAAACUAUGGAAGGGUCUUGCAUUGCCUGGUAUGGAGUUGAAGAGACAAAGAGUGAAGCUGGAGCCAUCAUGAAUUGGAAAUAGUGUUUUAUUUCCACACAUCCCUAGGUCUCUAAAUGAAAAACAAAAACAGUUUUGAGGCAAUGUUUCACCCGUGACUGCUUGCUGAGACACCUAGUUCAGAAAUUCAUGAACAACCUCCUCUUGCCACCACAGCAUGUUGGACCAUCUUGAGCAUUUUCUACAUCUCUUCCUGCAUGAUUUCCUUUGUUAGAAAACAAAACCUGUCGAUUUCUUUCUUGAGACCCACGUUCCUGCCUUACUCAAAUACUUUAAUUGUCUUGCAUUUUUAGAAAGACUUUUUCUCAUCCCCCUAAAGCAUUUCAUUGCUGACAGAAAGGCUGACAAGGCAGCUGACAUGGUGGCUAUUACUUUGAGCAGUUUCUAAACAAUAUCAUUUUGCUGCCCUUCUGCUUUCAGUGAAAUUAUAGGGUGCAUUCUUUUUUGAGGAACAAUGGAGCUCAGUUCCCACACCAGGGGUCCUGAACAAAUUCCAUACCAACCUCCUGAGCUUCAGAAUUAAUGCAAUUAUCACUGAAGAUGUCACUUCAGGCACUAGUAACAUCACUACAUUGGUUCAUCUUGCCAUAACAGAGGAAGAAGGAAUGGAGGAGUGAAGCUAUAAACACACACAAAUACACUUAUAUGUGGAUAUAUGUGUGUGUGUUCAUAUCUAUGUAUGUAUAAAAUAUCCUACUAAUUUGAAAUGCAUCCUGAGUAAAUAAGAGCAAUAUUUAUAGAAAUGCAUGGUGACAGAUCAGCUGUGAAUCUGAACUGGGGGCUGAUAAAUUCUCAUUACCUUCGUCUACCUGACAAAUGAAAUGACCUGCUAAACAGCUGUUGAAAAUUCAAUCAGAUACCUGCAAAUAGCAAGCAUCCCAUGUGACAUGUGGAGAAGGUUGGUGAACAUUCUUGGAUUGGAAUCACACAGAAUAAGGAAUAAAAGAGAAGUUUCAUCUAUCCCUUGCA